UGAGGAAUAUUGGUCAAUGGGGGGGAGCCUGAACCAGCCAAGCCGCGUGAGGGAAGAAGGCCCUAUGGGUCGUAAACCUCUUUUGUCAGGGAACAAAAGCGAGUAUGUAUACUAGUCUGAGUGUACCUGAAGAAAAAGCAUCGGCUAACUCCGUGCCAGCAGCCGCGGUAAUACGGAGGAUGCGAGCGUUAUCCGGAUUUAUUGGGUUUAAAGGGUGCGUAGGCGGCGAUGCAAGUCAGCGGUAAAAGCCCGGGGCUCAACCCCGGCGAGCCGUUGAAACUGCAGUGCUAGAGAAGGCGAGAGGUACGCGGAAUGCGCAGUGUAGCGGUGAAAGUGCUUAGAUAUUGCGCAGAACUCCGAUUGCGAAGGCAGCGUACUGGCGCCUGACUGACGCUGAGGCACGAAAGCGUGGGGGAUCGAACAGGAUUAGAUACC
rnacentral:rRNA from 1 species